rnacentral:rRNA from 1 species
AACGAACGCUGGCGGCAUGCCUAACACAUGCAAGUCGAACGAGACCUUCGGGUCUAGUGGCGCACGGGUGCGUAACGCGUGGGAAUCUGCCCUUAGGUUCGGAAUAACUUCGGGAAACUGAAGCUAAUACCGGAUGAUGACGUAAGUCCAAAGAUUUAUCGCCUAAGGAUGAGCCCGCGUUGGAUUAGCUAGUUGGUGAGGUAAAGGCUCACCAAGGCGACGAUCCAUAGCUGGUCUGAGAGGAUGAUCAGCCACACUGGGACUGAGACACGGCCCAGACUCCUACGGGAGGCAGCAGUGGGAAUAUUGGACAAUGGGCGAAAGCCUGAUCCAGCAAUGCCGCGUGAGUGAUGAAGGCCGUUAGGUUGUAAAGCUCUUUACCCGGGAUGAUAAUGACAGUACCGGGAGAAUAAG